rnacentral:rRNA from 1 species
AACGAACGCUGGCGGCAUGCCUAACACAUGCAAGUCGAACGAGACCUUCGGGUCUAGUGGCGCACGGGUGCGUAACGCGUGGGAACCUGCCCUUAGGUUCGGAAUAACUCCCCGAAAGGGGUGCUAAUACCGGUUAAUGUCUUCGGACCAAAGAUUUAUCGCCUUUGGAUGGGCCCGCGUUGGAUUAGCUAGUUGGUAGGGUAAAAGCCUACCAAGGCGACGAUCCAUAGCUGGUCUGAGAGGAUGAUCAGCCACAAUGGGACUGAGACACGGCCCAGACUCCUACGGGAGGCAGCAGUGGGGAAUAUUGGACAAUGGGCGAAAGCCUGAUCCAGCAAUGCCGCGUGAGUGAUGAAGGCCUUAGGGUUGUAAAGCUCUUUUACCCGGGAUGAUAAUGACAGUACCGGGAGAAUAAGCUCCGGCUAACUCCGUG